rnacentral:rRNA from 1 species
AGUGAACGCUGGCGGUAGGCCUAACACAUGCAAGUCGAACGGCAGCACAGGAGAGCUUGCUCUCUGGGUGGCGAGUGGCGGACGGGUGAGGAAUACAUCGGAAUCUACUCUGUCGUGGGGGAUAACGUAGGGAAACUUACGCUAAUACCGCAUACGACCUACGGGUGAAAGCAGGGGAUCUUCGGACCUUGCGCGAUUGAAUGAGCCGAUGUCGGAUUAGCUAGUUGGCGGGGUAAAGGCCCACCAAGGCGACGAUCCGUAGCUGGUCUGAGAGGAUGAUCAGCCACACUGGAACUGAGACACGGUCCAGACUCCUACGGGAGGCAGCAGUGGGGAAUAUUGGACAAUGGGCGCAAGCCUGAUCCAGCCAUACCGCGUGGGUGAAGAAGGCCUUCGGGUUGUAAAGCCCUUUUGUUGGGAAAGAAAUCCAGCUGGUUAAUACCCGGUUGGGAUGACGGUACCCAAAGAAUAAGCACCGACUAACUUCGUGCCAGCAGCCGCGGUAAUACGAAGGGUGCAAGCGUUACUCGGAAUUACUGGGCGUAAAGCGUGCGUAGGUGGUUAUUUAAGUCCGUUGUGAAAGCCCUGGGCUCAACCUGGGAACUGCAGUGGAUACUGGAUGACUAGAAUGUGGUAGAGGGUAGCGGAAUUCCUGGUGUAGCAGUGAAAUGCGUAGAGAUCAGGAGGAACAUCCAUGGCGAAGGCAGCUACCUGGACCAACAUUGACACUGAGGCACGAAAGCGUGGGGAGCAAACAGG